GACGAACGCUGGCGGCGUGCUUAACACAUGCAAGUCGAACGGUGAAGCUCCAGCUUGCUGGAGUGGAUCAGUGGCGAACGGGUGAGUAACACGUGAGCAACCUGCCCCUGACUCUGGAAUAAGCGCUGGAAACGGCGUCUAAUACUGGAUACGAGAAGGGUCCGCAUGGGCACUUUCUGGAAAGUUUUUCGGUUGGGGAUGGGCUCGCGGCCUAUCAGCUUGUUGGUGAGGUAAUGGCUCACCAAGGCGACGACGGGUAGCCGGCCUGAGAGGGCGACCGGCCGCACUGGGACUGAGACACGGCCCAGACUCCUACGGGAGGCAGCAGUGGGGAAUAUUGCACAAUGGGCGAAAGCCUGAUGCAGCGACGCCGCGUGAGGGAUGACGGCCUUCGGGUUGUAAACCUCUUUCAGCAGGGAAGAAGCGAAAGUGACGGUACCUGCAGAAGAAGCACCGGCUAACUACGUG
rnacentral:rRNA from 1 species